AAUUUGGGAGGUUUCGGGAGACGUUAAGGCCUCAGCAGGAGGACACGUUCAAACGGCCGCUGUCAGUGAGGCGGAGGCCGCGGUCAAUGAGGCGGAGGCCGCUGUUGUCACCGACCGCUGUGAGACGACACAUGACGCAUGAUAAGUGAUUGUUUAAUCAGUUCUACGUGUUAAUGGUGAUAUAAAACAAAAGUAUUUCAAUACGCAGUAAAACCCGGCCGCAGACAAACUCGUUGUCACCAGUGGAAUGACGCAACCUGCGAGGGAAGACCCAGGGUUUAGACGGCACCACUUUCCCAAACUAGUUGUAAAUCUGACUUCAGACGAGUCUGUGCCUCGGCAGCCAUGAACCUCACCGCACAUCACUGGAUGGUAUCGUCGUCCACCGACACUGACGUGUCACAGGGCAGCUAAACAUGGAAAACAGAACUGAAGAAGUUUCUUGGAUCAGAGGUGAAACGUCUUCGAGAAGUUGCCUUCGAUGUGAAGAUGACCAGGAUGACUGAGGAGCUACAGGACAAUGCAGGCUAGCUGUCCGUCCACCGAAGGCUCCGGCGACACUUGCUUCUCCCUGUUGGGGCUGACAAACACAGAGGAGGGGAAGGUGUAGGCCCGGGGGGGGCUUCCCAUGGGCAGGUAGAAGGGGAAGCCCUGAGGUGAGGCCCUGCCCUCCACGCCCAGGUGAAGAACUGGUUCCUGAAACACAGGUGAGAGUCCCAGCUGUUUUUUCCACAACUGAAGAACUUCAGCCCUUCCUCUCCAGAGUGGAACAUUUUUCGACUUUGACUCCGUGGGCCGUUGAACGCCAUGUUGGAAAAAGUCGAAAAUUGAGCCGGAGCACACGAGGCAGGUCGACAGAAACUGGUGAAUUACACACUUUUACAGAGAAAGGGCAGCGGUAACUCCCGUAAUUAACGGAGGAAAUGGAGAUGAAAAUUAUCUUAAAGAGAGUUGGAGUCGACAGUCGGAAUAACAGCGGAGUAAAGAGUAAAGGGGGGGGGAGGGAGGGGGAGGGAUCUGAGGUGGGAUUUAUGAACUUGAUCAGCUGAGGCUGCUCUGGGAUCGACUCGUCCUCCUGCGACGUCACAUCAGUUUGGGAGCAGGUUUGGGCCGACCUCGGUCGUGUCCGCCUUCUUUAGACGCAGCACGAGGUUUUAAUCUGGUUCUAAUCAUAAAUCACACCAAGCACUUCUCUUCUCUGGGAGGGAAGAGAAGCGUGAACAUAUUUUAAAGCUGAGUCUGUGUUUUUAACAUUAACACUGGAUCGUGUGACGCUGCAGACGAAGGAAAAUCUCAUAGAAAAAGUCUUUUUUUUGUUGUUUUUUUUACUAUUUCUCAAAGUGUUUUAAGAGUUCAUUUAGAGUGAACUGAAAUGGUUAAAUAAUAAUAUAUAUGUAUUACUAACCCUUACCUGUUUUUUUGGUUUUUCCUGUUUCUACAAUUUUGAAAGAUGCAGUGAGUCCUUAAAAGUAUUUUUUCAUGCCCAGUUCUGUUGAUGCUAGGAUGCUGCCCUCUGUCUGUAGUUCUUUUUUUUUUUUAGUAGUUGAAGCACGUGAGACGAAAACCUUCCGCAGUAACAAAACACUCCACCAGUAGGUGGCGAUAAUUCUCAUGAUUGAAACUAAAGCUGAAACAAUCACUUUAUUAAUCAUCUCAAAUGGAUUGAUUGAGAUUUUAAAUUAUUUAUUUAUCAUCUAUAAUGUUUUAUUUUGUCGGUUUCGCUGCAGCAUUUACAUAAAUAUUUUUGUGUUUCGUUUACUUUUGUUCUUUUUGUGGUGGUUGUUACUUUUAUUCAGAGGGUUAUUUUUUCCCAUUUAUAAUUAAAACUAACUAAUAAUUUAAAAAGUUUUAAAACUUCAGCUGCAGCUCUAGUUCAAAGGUAGAAACCAACACGUUAACACACCAUGUGACCAUGUGACCACAGUGUGUUUCGCUCCGUGAUGACGGUUACGUCACAAAGAACACGCAGUAAUAAAACUGUGUCAAAUCACCCGCUGCAGUGACCCCUGCAGAGGGCAGCAGCUAAACCUCCCAAAAAACAUUACUUUAUUGCACCCUGUUGCCCAACCUCUCGCCCCCCCCCCCCCUCACCCCCCCACCCCUAACAUCGACCCAUUUGUCAUCGUCUGACAGCAGAAAUCCCGCCCACAUCGCGGCCCAUUAAAGCCAUUUCAACAUAAAUAACCGUUUUUUUUAUCGCCCUCAGCAGAUUUCAGCGUCACAGGCGGCGAACCUUGUCGUCACUUCAACGCCCUGAGGAUUUUUUUUUUUUAACGUCGAGCUCGGACCGGGUUUUAUUAAACUUUAUUGAAUGUUAAUAUUAUUUGGGUCCAGGGACUCGGGUCUGGACGUUUUCAUGUUUCGCCCGCAGCAGGUGACGUGGGGUCAGACGUCUGAUACCCCGGACCGAGGGCAGAUCUCUGGUAAUUAAACGCCCAAUUAAACCAGGAGCUGAUUGGACAGGAGCCGGCAGAGCUAGCUAUUCCUUUUAGCCACGAGCUCCUCCAUGUUGGAACUGAAGUUCAGAACACUUUGGUCCAACAAAGAAGAGCCGGUGGUCAGUCUGUCCGCUCACAUCCGGACGCCAACAGUCAGAGGUAAAAGACAACGGAAACAUCUCGUAUCAAGGUUCCCAAACUACGGCGGGGUCAAACAGACCUAACCUCACCAGACAACGUCAGGAGAAACGUUUUCCAAAUUUCAGACAAUAUUUCAAAACAGUUUGAAAAAC